UACGAAGGGGGCGAGCGUUGUUCGGAAUUACUGGGCGUAAAGGGCGCGUAGGCGGUUCGUUAAGUCCUGUGUGAAAUCCCCCGGCUCAACUGGGGAACUGCACAGGAAACUAGCGGGCUUGAGUUCGGGAGAGGGAAGCGGAAUUCCGGGUGUAGCGGUGAAAUGCGUAGAUAUCCGGAGGGACACCGGUGGCGAAGGCGGCUUCCUGGACCGACACUGACGCUGAGGCGCGAAAGCUAGGGGAGCAAACGGG
rnacentral:rRNA from 1 species